rnacentral:rRNA from 1 species
AUGGCCACAAAGUUCUUCCUCCUUGCCUUUUCGGCUCUGUGGGCUUCUCGUGCUCUUGCCUCCGAUCCAGGCCAGCUUCAGGAUUUCUGCGUCGCUGACAGGACAUCCCAAGUUUUCGUCAACGGAUUUGCAUGCAAAGACCCAAAGACUGUUGUGGUAGAAGACUUCCUCUUCUCUGGCCUUCACAUGGCUGGGAACAUGAGCAACAAGCAGGGCUCCGCUGUGUCCGCAGUCAAUGUUGCGCAUAUUCCUGGCUUGAACACUUUGGGCAUCUCCCUUGCUCGUGUCGAUUAUGCACCCUAUGGUCAAAACCCACCCCACAUCCACCCCCGCGCAUCCGAGAUCUAG